rnacentral:rRNA from 1 species
CCUACGGGUGGCUGCAGUGGGGAAUAUUGGACAAUGGGGGGAACCCUGAUCCAGCCAUGCCGCGUGUGUGAAGAAGGCCCUCGGGUUGUAAAGCACUUUCAGUGAGGAAGAACGCCUGGUGGUUAAUACCCAUCAGGAAAGACAUCACUCACAGAAGAAGCACCGGCUAACUCCGUGCCAGCAGCCGCGGUAAUACGGAGGGUGCGAGCGUUAAUCGGAAUUACUGGGCGUAAAGCGCGCGUAGGUGGCUUGAUAAGCCGGUUGUGAAAGCCCCGGGCUCAACCUGGGAACGGCAUCCGGAACUGUCAAGCUAGAGUGCAGGAGAGGAAGGUAGAAUUCCCGGUGUAGCGGUGAAAUGCGUAGAGAUCGGGAGGAAUACCAGUGGCGAAGGCGGCCUUCUGGACUGACACUGACACUGAGGUGCGAAAGCGUGGGUAGCAAACAGGAUUAGUACCCCGGUAGUC